CGCACGUGUGGCUCAAUUGGAUAGAGCAUCCGGCUUCGGACCGGAGGGUUGUGGGUUCGAGUCCUACCACGUGCGU
rnacentral:tRNA from 1 species